GGUUUCCGUAGGUGAACCUGCGGAAGGAUCAUUACCGAGUGCGGGCCCCUCGGGGCCCAACCUCCCACCCGUGUUGCCCGAACCUAUGUUGCCUCGGCGGGCCCCGCGCCCGCCGACGGCCCCCCUGAACGCUGUCUGAAGUUGCAGUCUGAGACCUAUAACGAAAUUAGUUAAAACUUUCAACAACGGAUCUCUUGGUUCCGGCAUCGAUGAAGAACGCAGCGAAAUGCGAUAACUAAUGUGAAUUGCAGAAUUCAGUGAAUCAUCGAGUCUUUGAACGCACAUUGCGCCCUCUGGUAUUCCGGAGGGCAUGCCUGUCCGAGCGUCAUUGCUGCCCUCAAGCCCGGCUUGUGUGUUGGGCCCCGUCCCCCCCGCCGGGGGGACGGGCCCGAAAGGCAGCGGCGGCACCGCGUCCGGUCCUCGAGCGUAUGGGGCUUCGUCACCCGCUCUAGUAGGCCCGGCCGGCGCCAGCCGACCCCCAACCUUUAAUUAUCUCAGGUUGACCUCGGAUCAGGUAGGGAUACCC
rnacentral:rRNA from 1 species